rnacentral:rRNA from 1 species
AAAACAAACCUAGGGAGGCAGCAAUAAGGAAUAUUGGUCAAUGGACGCAAGUCUGAACCAGCCAUGCCGCGUGAAGGAUGAAGGCCCUCUGGGUUGUAAACUUCUUUUAUCUGGGACGAAAAUGGGACUUUCUAGUUCAACUGACGGUACCAGAGGAAUAAGCACCGGCUAACUCCGUGCCAGCAGCCGCGGUAAUACGGAGGGUGCAAGCGUUAUCCGGAUUCACUGGGUUUAAAGGGUGCGUAGGUGGGUUGGUAAGUCAGUGGUGAAAUCUCCGAGCUUAACUUGGAAACUGCCAUUGAUACUAUCAGUCUUGAAUACCGUGGAGGUCAGCGGAAUA